rnacentral:rRNA from 1 species
GACGAACGCUGGCGGCGUGCUUAACACAUGCAAGUCGAGCGGUAAGGCCCUUUCGGGGGUACGACGAGCGGCGAACGGGUAGGAGUAACAACGUGGGUGGACCUCGCCCUCCAGCUCUGGGAGUAAAGACCCGGGAAACCGUAGGGUCGUAAUAACCGGAUAUGACUUCAUGACGCAUGUUGUGGAGUGGAAAGCCUUGUGCGGCUGAGGAU